GAGAGAGGCUAGAAGCAAUGAGAACUGCUAAUUCUCACCCCCAUGGCUAAACUCCAUGGCUCACUCAC
rnacentral:tRNA from 1 species